rnacentral:rRNA from 1 species
CAUUAAAGAGUUCUAUAACUCCCAAACCCAUGUGAACAUACCUAACGUUGCCUCGGCAGGUCGCACCUACCUUGUAGCACCCUACCCUGUAGGGCCUACCCGGGAGGUGCGGGUAAGCCUGCCGGCGGCCCACCAAACUCUGUUUGAUAUUGAAUUCUGAACCUAUAACUAAAUAAGUUAAAACUUUCAACAACGGAUCUCUUGGUUCUGGCAUCGAUGAAGAACGCAGCGAAAUGCGAUAAGUAAUGUGAAUUGCAGAAUUCAGUGAAUCAUCGAAUCUUUGAACGCAUAUUGCGCCCAUUAGUAUUCUAGUGGGCAGGACCGUUCGAGCGUCAUUUCAACCCUUAAGCCUUCGUUGCUUAGUGUUGGGAGCCUACGGCAACGUAGCUCCUCAAAGUUAGUGGCGGAGUUGGUUCACACUCUAGACGUAGUAAUUUUUUAUCUCGCCUAUUAGUUGGACUAAUCCCCUGCCGUAAAACCCCCAAUUUAUCAAGGUUGACCUCGAAUCGGUUCAGACAAACUCGCUAAAUUGAAGCAUCUUAGUCAGCGAAGGAAAAGAAACCAACAGGGAUUGCCCUAGUAACGGCGAGUGAAGCGGCAACAGCUCAAAUUUGAAAUCUGGCCCUCGGGUCCGAGUUGUAAUUUGUAGAGGAUGCUUUUGGCGCGGUGCCUUCCGAGUUCCCUGGAACGGGACGCCUUAGAGGGUGAGAGCCCCGUACGGUUGGACACC